GAGUUUGAUCCUGGCUCAGGACGAACGCUGGCGGUGUGCCUAAUACAUGCAAGUCGAGCGACGCACAUUGGAGGGGUAACCCACCGAUGUGACGGAGCGGCGAACGGGUGCGUAACACGUGAGCAACCUGCCCCAAAGAUCGGGAUAGCCCAAGGAAGCUUGGAUUAAUACCGGAUACCUUCACCGGACCGCAUGGCCUGGUGAAGAAACGCUUUUGUGCUUUGGGAUGGGCUCGCGGCCUAUCAGCUAGUUGGUGAGGUAAUGGCUCACCAAGGCAUUGACGGGUAGCUGGUCUGAGAGGAUGAUCAGCCACACUGGAACUGAGAUACGGUCCAGACUCCUACGGGAGGCAGCAGUAGGGAAUCUUGCGCAAUGGGCGAAAGCCUGACGCAGCAACACCGCGUGAGGGAUGACGGCCUU
rnacentral:rRNA from 1 species